UCUCUUGAAUGGUUCUCUUGGUUGAUUGAAAAUUGAAUAAAAGAAAAGGAGAUGGGCAAUAGUAAAAGUACAGCAAUAGUAAACAAAAAAAGAAGAGGAGUUGGCAAAGCAAAUACCACAAGUUUUUCUCUUUGGUGUCUAAAGCAAAAGCAAGGGUUUUCUCCACUAAAUAAAGAAAUCUCCAAAGCCUUCAAUCUCUCAGCACAGUCUAUACAUGCAAAAAGAGAGAACAAAAAGUCAGAAACAUGGAAAAAGGCAAAAAAAAAAAAGCAAAAGAGAAGGGAGUUUAUGGAGUAGACUACCACGUGGAAAGCAAGAGGAUUUUCCCCUUUGUGUGUAGCUGGUGAUGAGCAAGGAAAAGGGAAGUAGAAUUCUACUUCCUGUCAAUUGAAAGUCUCAAGGUUCUCUUGGGUAUUGACCUUGGGAAAGUUACAGCACAUAAUGGACAAUAAGAGGAUUUGUCUCUUUUGGUUCCAAGUCAGCCCAGAAGCAUCCAAUUAAUUGGAGGGUCUUCUAUUGCUACUGCUAUUGCUGUCCAUGUAGACAAAAGUCCUAGUUAGUUCAAUCAAUAAAUAAAAUAAAAGAGAAGAACUAAGGAACGGCAUGUGGGUUACCACGUGAGAUCCGCUUCCGUUUGAUGGGGCAACAGGUGGCUUGAGCAAAGCUAUGUGCUGGUCUGGGAGCAAAGCUAUGUGCUGGUCUGGAGAAGCAAACGAAGAAUAAUGUUAAGACUUUCGUUUUGUGGCUAUUUGCUGGUGCACACAUAUUUUCUUUUUUUAUAAGGAAGACAACCCAAUCCUAUGUGGACAAGAAGUUUACUUCACUGGAUGAUCCAGCAGUUCCAAAUCAAUAAGGAGUUUAAUCCAUACUUCACUUGGAGAAGGAUUUCUAUCCUUUGGGUGUCUUAAUCAAAUUGAAAGACACCUGUUAAUGGCACCAAUACGUGAGGGAUCCAGCUGGAGCAAAGCAAGGCCUUUGGUUUACUAUGUUUUGCUGAAAGUAAACAGAAAAAAAUAAAAAAAUAAAAGCUUGUGGAGGUGAACCCUCCACGUGAUGAUUUUUGGCUUUGAAUCAAAAGCAAAGCCUUGAAUCAAAAUUCAGAACAAUGAAGAAAGCUUUGCUCUUCUUCAGGUCAGAAUCAAAUUCACAUGAAGUCAAUUGCUGGGGCUAUGACACUACAUAAGCAAAACGAAAUGAAGAGUAAAUGUGUUGGUGAACCCACCACUUGUGAAUUCAAAAGGACUUCUUCCUCUUUGACUUGCAGCAGAGUAAUAAAAAAAAAAGUCUUGGACUUCACGGACUCGCAUGUCUAAAGUGAAUUCAAGAUUAUGUCUUUGAUUGUAACAACAACAAAAAACAACAAAAGAAAGGGUUCGAUGCAAGAUGUAAAUGUGUUGGUGAACCCACCACUUGUGAAUUCAAAAGGACUUCUUCCUCUUUGACUUGCAGCAGAGUAAUAAAAAAAAAAGUCUUGGACUUCACGGACUCGCAUGUCUAAAGUGAAUUCAAGAUUAUGUCUUUGAUUGUAACAACAACAAAAAACAACAAAAGAAAGGGUUCGAUGCAAGAUGUGUUUUGCCAAAUUUUUAUCUCCUCUAAUAAGUCGUAUGCAAGAGACCAGAGAAGAAAUAAUUGGCAAGUUUGACAAAAGCUAACAAACCCAAAGCUGCCAGCUGCAUCAAUCUGAACACACAAAGUUUGAGUCCAGACUCAUGCGAACCAAUCCAAAGGAAGUGCAGAUUUCUCUAAGUUCAUCCCCCACAGUUCAAGCUAUCAAGCUUCUAAAUAGGAAGGAGCAGAACUAUGAAAAAAAUAAGAUAAAUCAAGGAGAUACAAUACUUUUCUUUUGCUUCAUGGAGAAGCAAAAGGCCCCAUGCCAAUGACAAACGGAAUGGAAAAUCAAGCCACAAGAGUAGCUGGCUUGUACCGACGUCAAGAAGUCAAAGACGAUAAAAAAAUAGUCAGAGGCGUGAUUGUUUGAGAGGGCCCAUUCUUUGUAAAUGUCCACUAAGCUCAGCAAUAUGCUUUACAAUAUAAAACAAGCAUUGAGCUUCACACAGAUAGAAGACAAAGUGAAGGUUUGAAACCAAGGCCUUUUCAAGUUCCUCACAUUACUUUUGGUGACUGCAACAAAUGAAAACAAAGUGUCCAGGCACUUGUGCUCCUUUGUAUUCCAAGGGACGAAGAUGUGAGUUCACUACUUGCAGUACCAAGCUAUGCAAGCAAGUGCACAAAAGUGUCAGCAAGGGUUCAUGAGAACUAAAUCAAUUGACGGUCAAGAAGGCUCAAUAAAAUGCUUACGUCAUUGAGGUCUAUCUGCCUCAAUUCUCAAAUGCAAGACGGCUACCAAACAUGCCCACAAAAUCUCAACAAGAAAUAUAGGAAUCAAUCACUGUGGCAAAGAAGCUAUUCAAAAAGGAGUGCCAAGCGACUCAACCAUACUGUGUCCAUGACUCCAUUCCAGAUAAAUGAUUGGCCGUGCUACGAGCAUCCAGCUCGCACUCAAAAGAUACCAAAGGAGCAUCAAUAUGGAUUAACAGGCUUGUCAACCACAAAAACCCAUUAAUCUCAAAUCCUCCAAAUCAUGCAUGGAUACAAACGCAAAUGUCAAUUGUAGAGAAUUAGUGGGUUCAUCAAAAUUACUCAUUAUUUUUCUUGGACAUUGACAAAAAGAAAAAUGGUAUAAAACCAUCCAAUUUUCCCCAUGGUUCAUCUACCCAUGCAAAUUCCAAAUGAGAUUAAAUUCAAAUAUCUCAAACACAAAUUCUUAAUUAGUGGGCCACACUUACCCAUUAAUUUCCAAUUUUUCCCAUAGGUCAUCUACCUAUGAAAAUCUCCAAAUUGUCUCAAAGACACAAAUUCUCAAUUAGUGGGUCACACUUACCCAUUAAUUUCCAAAAUUUGGAACUACAUCGGUUUGAUCCCGUCAAGGGUACGUAGGCAGUCUAGCAUCCCAAUAGACGCAACCGCAAUCAAAUUUAAAUAUCUGGUUUAUCUUAACCAAAUUUUGCCAAAACACUUUCCCAAACGCAAUCGUCAAUGUUUAGGAAAAAUUAAUGGGAUAAUUAAAAUUACUCAUUAUUUUUCUUGGACAUUGACAACAACGAAAGUGGUACAAAACCAUCCAAUUUUUCAUGGGUCAUCUACCCAUGAAAACUCUAACGAGAUUAAAUCCAAGUCUCUCAAACAGAAAUUCUCAAUUAGUGGGCCACACUUACCCGUUAAUUUCUAAAUUCCGAACUACGUUGGUUUGAUCCCUUUGAAAGGGUACGUAGGCAAUCUAGAGAUUCAAUCUAGAUGCAACCAUCCCAAAUGCAAUUCCAUAUCGAAUCCCUGGUUUAUUCAGCUAAAUUCACUCAAACACUUCUCAAUACAAUUCAAAUCAAAUUUCCCUCGCAAUGAGUCAUUUAUUCAUUGCGAUUCUUUGAACUAUGAGUGGCUUGAUUCCCGCAAGGGAUACGUAGGCAUCCUGGGGUUGGACUUGGGAGCAGUUGCAAAAUCAAACACACACGUUCUGUUUCUUUAUGAUGGAAUCAAAGGGUGUUCCCUUGAAGCAAGGGAUUGUAAUUAAGAGACUUACGUCUCGAAUGGGUCGAACCUAAAAUAAUAAAACCUCGUUAUUUAAUUAGUGGUGGUGAAAUUAUGUUAGGAUGAUCACUUUUUUCCUUCAACAGGGGUAGCUAGAAAUUAAGAUUUGGUGGGAGGGAUUAUCAGAUGGGAAAGUCUAUGGCUUCAUCAUGAGUCAUCUAUCACAUGAAACUGUCACACUAGAUCUCACAUGACAGGCUACCUUUAUAGAUAUAUAAAUUCAUAAACUGUAAACUAUCGCAUGGUCAUAUUGGAAAUCAAGCGUUAUUUUGGAAGAGUAACAAAUAAAAGACAAGUUGUAAUUUGCUAGCCAUGAUUUCUGCUUUCGAAGUUUUAUUAGCUAGGUAUCUAAAAAAUGACACAGAUUUGUACAACAUUGUACAUAGAAAAUGGAAAAGAAAGUACAAUUACACCUAGAAAUGAGUUUCGAUUAAUCCCUUGCACAGAAUAAGAAACUAAUUAUAAUUUAAUAUAUGGUACCAUACGCCCUAGGGUUAGGAUAUACAUAUGUCCACAUAUAUGGUUGCGUGCAGCCGGGGUGGAUGGAGAAGAUGAUGGAUCCGAUCGCCGAAGCAGUAAUAAAUAAACGGAUGCAAAUGAAGUAAUGAAUGAAUAGGAUGAUCAAGGUUUAGUGGAGAGGGACUUGAUGAAGGAAGCACUCUUGGUUAACUCGCGGAGUGGUUUGUCAGUAAAUCUAAUCAAAUUGUAGGCAAAUCCACCGAGUACGGUGCCCACUAUUGGACCUGCAAAGUAAAUCCACAGUCCUUUGUAUGUGUGCAUCACAAUUGCUGGCCCUAGGCUCCUCGCUGGAUUCAUUGAUGCCCCUGAUACUGGCCUGCAUGCAUAUAUAUUCAAUUUCUUUAACUAGCUAUUAUCAUGUUAAUUAUAACUGCGAAGCAAAUUUUUAGGUAAAGAUGUGGAAAAUCAGCGGUCCAUGCAUAAAUGUAUAUAUGUACCCGGCAACGAAGACAUCGAUCACUAUUGUCAUUCCUACAGCAAUUCCUGCCAGUUCUCCAAUCUGCAUGCAUAUAUAUAUAUAAAAUGUAAAAUGAAUAUAUCCAGGAGAUGGAAGUUGAUUAAUAUAAAAAUGAAGAAAGAUAUUAAUUAUAUACUAACAGCUCUGUUGUCGGUGGCAACGCCUGAAAUAACAAACAUCAAAAGAAAGGAGGCAAUGAUCUCAAUGAUCAAAGAUCGAAUAUCUGAUCCAACUGGUAAAGUACCAAAGUAUGCGGUUUGGGGUACGUCCAAAAGAAGGCAUAGCGUCCCGCUUGCAAGGAUGGAUCCUAACACCUGCGCCACAACAUAUAGAGGCACCUGCAAAUGCAAUGCAAGUAUUACAAAUUAAUUAAUUAACAUCAAGAAUGUAAUUAGUUAGUUAAUUAAUUGGGAUUAUAUAUAGAGUCAUGCCUCUUUGACUGGAAAGUGGCGAAAGAUGGCAAAGGUGACGGUGACAGCGGGAUUAAAGUGGGCGCCGGAGAUAUGGCCAACGGAAUAGACCAUGACCAUAACAAUUAAUCCCCAAGUAAUUGCAAUCCCUGGAAAUGUUACAGAACCGUAAAUCUUAUUCACUGCUACCGAACCACACCCGAUAAAUACCACGAAAUAUGUCCCAAUCACCUCUGCAAUUACCUGCACGUGAGGAGGUUUAAUUAGGUAUUAUGCAUGCAUAUAUGAAUAUGAUAUAUAUAAUACUCAGUGAGAUCCAUCAGCCACCCACAAGGCGUUACCUUUUGGGUAAGUUGAACAAUCUCAGAAGAAGAGCAAAUCCCAGAAUUUGUGCUGUCUGUACCCGAGCUGCCACCUUCUUCCAUCUUUUUCAUGGCUUGAUCAGACAUUUUGUUACUCUUUAUUUUAACUAUAUGCUACACAAUUUUCCCAAUACUAAUUAGUAUCUCUCUCUCUCUCUCACUCUCUCUCUCUCUCUCUCUCUCUCUCUCUCUCUCUCUCUCUCUCUCUCUCUCUGAUCUCUAGGAAGCAAGCAAUCAAGAAAUAUAAUAUUGGUGUGACUGGAAAGAAAUUUAAAUUGCAAACAAUGUCCUGGUUUUGGGUAAAGCAAUGGUUCGCCUGUUUUAGCGAUUAGCCAAUGGAGUUAAUGUUUGUACGAGUUUCAUUUUAAUGUAAGCCCCGUAUUACACCCAACUUACAUCUUCAUUAGCAAAAACUUGUACCAACAAUUCUUGGGUUGCAUGGAUUUCUCUUUUGUUUUUCUUUUCUUUUGUGAAACAUGAUGUCAAUUGGUCUAGCGGCCCAUGUUUACACGAGACAUUCAAAUCCGAUACACAUUGAGGACUACUUAUUUAUCAUUAGUCUCCCAUACAUCCUUUUUGGAUACGUGAAAUAAAUGAAUGCAUUGAGUUGGGCCGUUCUAAAUCUUCUAGUUGGACCUCCAUCUUUAUUAGCUUAUUGUGUUUUGGGCUCUGGCUUCACUUGUAGCCAAAAAUAAUGAAACAUGGUUUAACAAUUGGUUGUGCAGAGAUUGAUUAUUUUCAUGAAAAAUAAUAAAGCAAUUAAUUGGAUUAAAAUUAUAGUAUCAACUCGCAUUUAAACAUAAAGUUUGCCUUGAUAGAGGUCCACAGCUCGACAUUUCCUUGCUGUGCAGGCAUUAGCUUAUGGCAUUAUCCCUAGAUACACACCAAUUUAUAUUAUUGGUCCAAACUAAAUAAAUUCCAAAGGCUAGAUGAUAUAUAUAUAUAUAUAUCUGUGUGUGUGUGUGAAUUCAAACAAAUAAAAGCAGGCAAAAAAGAGGUGCAAUAAUCAGAAAGGGACAUGGAUGGGGCCUGACAUCCGAUCCGAUCGAUGGAGUUAGAUAGAAGGUGGGCGUAUGUAUAUGUUGUGAAAUCGCUUAUUGGCUUAUAAUAAGAAAUUUUCUUUGCUUUUACAUGCACUGUCUUUCUCUGUCUCUGUCAAUAGUCUCAACUCUCAAGCCAACCCAAAACCCUAAUGGACUGGAAUGGAAUGGAAAUGGUCCCAAAGCCACAGCAGUUGUUGGUCCAUCUCUGUGCUGGCUCCUGUUCGUUGUUCACCCUACACUGACCAUGACGGCAUGACCACCCCCUUCUCUAUCUCUCUCCAUGUUUUGAUUCAUUUUUGUUUGUAUGUAUUUAUUUUCAUCUGCACCACGCCUUUAUUGUUUUGGUCCCAACCCAACCCAAAAGCCUCCAACACCAACUUGCACGAAUUUAAUACCAAUUCCUUGUAUAUCUAUAUAUUAUAUAUAAUAACUUAUCUGAAAAGCAUGAGUUAGGUUCAGUUUAGGGUAUAUAUAUGUUACCACCCGAAUAAAUUUUGUUAUAUCAAAAUCGGAUAAAGGAGCAUAAUAUUUCAUGUAACUGAUUUAGUCACGCAGUAUAAUCAUAGUUACAUAAUUGGCAUUGGCAAGAUUUGAUUUGGAUGGGGUGUUGCCUGCAGACUUUGAAGCAUGGCCCCCAUGUAUGCUGGAGAAUCAAGCCACGCGCACGAGGACACCACCAUAUGUUUUUUAUAUUGUCUGCCCUACUCCCACCUAAUCAUCCAUUAAUUAUUAUAUAAUUAUUAUGUCCGAGGCUAUUUACGUGCUGCUACACAUAUUGAACUUCAUUACCAUUUCCAUGUAAGUAAUUUUAGUAAAAUCAAAAACCAAAGUUCAUUAUUUGUCGAAUUCCAAUCAUUCACGCAUACAUAUAUAUAUAUAUAUAUAUAUAUAUGGACCAAUAUCGUCUAGCGACACGUAUCUUUUAGAUUGCCAACCACCACCACACCACCAUUCAGAUCUUAGACACUUAGAGUGUGUGUGUGUGUGAAGUACAAAGUGAUGGCAGUGUACUGUGUACGACUUAAAGUGUCGAAUAAAUUAGCCACAAAACCAUGAAUCAUGCAGAGAAUUGAGCUGCAAAAAUGUAGUGAUGAUAUGAUUUCAGUUCAAAGGGUCUGGACUUUUAAGGCACUCAGGUUGAAGUGCUUUGUGGGGACUGUACUGCUUGUUUCUGAGGCCUUCCAUAUUUUAUAUAUCAUCCACACAACACAAAGUUCCCUUUGCAAAGGUAAAGACUAAAGAGUCUUAAAAUGGUAGGACCCUUCAGUUAGACCUUAGCUAACGUAGAGAGAGAGAGAGAGAGAGAGAGAGAGAGAGAGAGAAGUGUGGUUCGUGUCACAUUGGGGUCCAUUCCCUUUGUAUCCAAAGAAAAGUGCUUCCUGCAAAGUCCAAAAGCUCUGCAAAACUUGGUUCCUCCAAACAGUCCCUACCUUACUUGGAUUCUCUAUAUGUAUCCUUUCCUUCCGUUUAUCUACGGGGGCCUCCCUCCUCAGUGAGCAAUUAUACAUAGCUAACCAUGGCAUGUUUGGCUACAAUGUUAGUUGUUUCAAACCUCCUUUAAUUUUUCGUCAAAAAAGAAAAAAAAAGAAAGAAAAAAACCUCCUUUAAUUAGCUCCACAUGACCAAAGUAUGGGCAUCCACAUGAGCAUGGGCCCCGCCCUAAUGCUUUAGCCACCUGUGUGCUUGAACUGUACGAUGAUCAAUCUUUAAUCGUCCAUGCCAUUGCUCUCAGGCCCCGCCAUUUAGUCCACAUCGAUCAACAAUCAUACUGGUGGUGCCAUGCCAUGCAUAUGCACUGCACAUAAUAAUUGUGGUCUAUCUAUCAUCUAUCAUCUAUCAUCCAUUUAUGGGCUCAAAAAUAUCAUCUAAAACAAUAACUUGAUGUUGUUUGCCAAAUCUCGAGAUUAACAUAUUAUUUGUUUAAUUACCCUAAUUAAUGUCAACUUAUUUCCUAACAUGGAUGGAACGAUUGAUUGAUUUCUUCAUUCUUUUGAUAGAAUUAGCCAGUAGGAUUAUAGAUAGAGAUAAUGAGAAAUUAAAAGGUGAGGCUGAGGUUGAUGGAGCAGAGUGCACACGUGGGGGUGAGAACUAAAUUUUGUUGGAUUGUGGCUACAAAUGCAUGUGAAAGUGUACCGUGAACAUGGAUCUAGGGUUCAUGAGUCGUCGGUUUUCGUAACUCACCCAUUUGCAAACUCCAACACCAUCGCUUUCGCGUUCUGGCGGGCGUUCAGCCUGCCUUUCUGCCUGCUUUGGACCUCUUUUGGAUAUCAUGGAGCGAGCAUGUUGGUCGUCUUUCUUGCCUCUCUUCUUCCUUAUCUUUAAUUUCGUGAUCUACGGCCUAAUUCUUGUCUUCGUCUUAUUUAUUAGUUUCCUCCUCCUAUAUGUGUGUGUAUAUAUAUAUUCUUCCAUCAUCUUUUUUUUUUUUUUUUUUUUUUACAGAGAUCAUAUAAUAAUAACUUAUAUUGCUUGGGUUUUAGUUAACACCUAGUGUUCCACUGUGUAGUGCGUAUGUUCCCUCCCAUAUCGACACCGUCUCCUUAAUUCAAAUCUUGGGAUACGGGUUUUGCCAAAUGCCUAAUCCCAACACUCACCAAAUUAAUAACAUUUAAAUAUGGAUGGGCUUUUGCAUGCUCAUUGUACAGUAUUCACGAGAGUAUUUUUGCUCAUCACCUUAACUUAAACUGUACUCUCAUCAUCAUUAUUCUCAACACUUAAUAUGUGUCUAUGAGCAUAACCAUAGUUUCAUAAAUACAAAAUAAAGAGUUAAUUAUGGUUAUAGCUAUAAACAAGUGUUAAGUAUUGAAAAUUAUGGUGGUGAACAAAAAUAUUUCUCAGUACUCACGUAGUCACACUAGUUAUUAUUAGUUUAGAGGAGAUAAUAGUUAAUGUACAUAUUAAUUAGUACUUGAAAGAUGGCCUUAAUUUAUGGGCGCACGAAAGUUAAUGAAGGUUGAAGAUUAGGGUUUAGGUGACAUCAGUCUUCUAUUCUCCAUUAUCUUGAUCUUUGAAGACCAUUUAGAACAUUUCCAGCCCACAAGGGAAGCUCGAGUAAGAAGGGGCCUUAGCCUAGUUUCGAGCUUCUACAGCCUGGGCAAAUGGUGGGGACCACCAACCUGAGCAAGCGCAAAGGCAAAACGAGCUCAAGCUCAUGUCAGAGGGCAGCUGACGUCAGUGCCUCAGUUUGAAACUUUUAUGCGCUAACGCCAGCCAGGCGUCAGCCCUGAUUUCCGCCAACGGCUAGAAGCCAUGUGGCUUGUCCGAUCCCUCCAAUCCAACAGUUGCCCUUUUUUUUGUUAAAAAAAAUUGAAAUUUAAAAAAAAAAUCCCAAAAAAUUUAUGCAUUCUAUAUCGCCCUCGAAAAUUAACAAUAUAGUACAACGAAUUUAAAAUAAAAUAAUCUUCCAAAAGAUUCUUACUCCGAAAAUGCUUACGUCUGUCUACGUUAGGGCCACGACCGACUUGUGAACCAUGGUGGUAGCUUUGGCUUGACAGAUGGAGCAUACCCACUGCAAUGGCAACUUGUUCAUCAUCUUCUUCCUCCUCCCUUUGUUAUUCAACUCGUUUGCAACUUCUUUCUUCAAUUGCUCGCUCUUGCCUCUCCAAGCACCUCCUCAUGUAAGACAUUAAGAGUGGAAUGUGUUUUCUAAAAUUUGAGAAAUGAAAGGAUAGAGAGGAUAUGGUGUGAGAGAUCUGAGUAGGCUCUAGUUUUAUAAAGGGAUGUAUAAGAUAAAGAUGACACGUGAUAUAAUUUUAGAGGGUGAAAAUUUUAUUUGAAAUAUGAAAUUUGUAUUUUAUAAUAAAUAUUGACACGUGGCAAUUGAAAAUCUCAUCUGAAAUUUGAGAUGUGAAUUUUUUAAUAAAUAUGGACACUUAGCAACCGAAAAUCUUAUCCAAAUUAAUCAUUUAAGUAAAAAAAAAUUAAAAAUUAAGUGAAUAGUAUUUGCCUUUUGCCAUGGCAAUGGAUGGAAACACAACAAGCAUUUUGCAAGGGCUGCCACUAUUCAUGUGAAUAGUAACAUCCAUUGUCUUACCCUUGUCCCUUGACUUGGCAAAUGGGUGGAAGUGUUAUUAAGUGUAAGCGCUAAAAGAAGUAAGACAUGAGAAAGAAAUGGGCAGACGCGUAUAAGUUUUGCAUGCAUAAAGAGAAAAAAUUUGUUUAUUUAUAUAUAUAAACAGAACAAAGAAAAUCGAAAAUCUGUAAUCCAUUGGAUGUAAUAUUAAGGACAUGUCACUUUAUAAUUAAAAGGUUGUAACAAAAACAAUUUACACUUUGCAACCUACCUUCGUUUCGUAUUUUUCUUCUUCCUCAAUGCCUGUGUGAAGUUUUGCAUAUUUUUUAUGAAAAUGAAUUGUACAUUGUUUUCACGAAAUACAUACAUAUAUACAAGCCGAAAAUUACAUGGAAGAUCUGUCAAAUCAUUCGUAUUGAGAUUUAGAGCUGGCGUCAUGAGGCUGAUGAUCACCACAACCGACUUCGACUUGUGGGAGGAGGUGAUGUUCUGUGAUCAUUAUGAAUGAAUGAGUGACAUACACAAAUUGAUUGCCACCCAUCACGUGCUAUCAUUUUCCUUAUUUAUUAAAAAAAAAAAAGUUGAACUGCUGACCAGCCCACCACUGCCUAGUCGGCCUAUGGGCCUCCUAAAUUAAAAAAAUAAAAACUAACAAAAGUAGGGUAGGGUUGCGGGCGCAUCAAAAACGAAAAGCUACAAAGUAACCUAAGCCUAAAUUGCUUUUUGACUCGAGCUUAUCAACUUUUCCGCUUUUUCUCAUCUCACUUUUUAUCUUAAGAGAAGAAGAAGCAGCAAGCAACUUCAAAGCCCCUCCUUUUUGUGCAUCCAUAUACAAAAUGGUAGAAGAAAGACAAUGUGGUUUCAAUUAAAAUUCAACCAAAUGCCUUUGCUUGCUCUAACCCAACUACAAAAAGUCUCCACAAGUUGCUUUCGCUUGCAUAAUAUCAAGAAGAAGAGGGUGGUCCAUUCACAAGUCUUUAUCCUUGCUGAAAAAUCCAUCCUCUGUCUUUGACUCACUUUUUAUUAACACCUAAUUAACAUAGGUGAUUGACAAAAUUAAUGUCUCCCCUGUCCAAGUUUUUUUGGUACUAAUCACUUCCAGUAGAAAAAUUAGUUCAAUAACGACAAACUCAAAUAAUUUCCGGAUCCACAUUCCCCGGAUAGUAUAUCAUCAAAAUCAUCACUGGGAACAAAGUUAAGAAGACAAAAAAACCUAGACAAGAAAACUAUACUAUACUAGGAAAAUGAUAAAUUAUAUAAAAAUAAAAUGCCAUCUUUAAUAUUUUUGUCACCUAUUCUUUUGUCUUCCAUAUAUUCAUGAACCAAUUUCAAUUGUCACUUCUUUUAUACAAUAAAGGACGAAUUUGCUUGAAAUCGGAGGCCUGACCUGACUGACGAAAUGAAGAGAAUUAGAUAUAUAUGAUUGAUUUAGGGAUAUAUGCUUUUCCUUCUUUUCCUCUCAAGGCUACACAGACUUGCGUUGCGUUGCUCCCUUCCAACAAGCUUUCAUAAAUUAAGAUAAACUUUGGCCUCUAAUGGGAGCAUGAUCCUUAUAACAGGGCUUCCCCUUCUUUAAUUACAAAAAGUCAAAAAUCUAUUACUUUUGCUCCCAAAAAUUUGGAAUAAAAACCUUCAACCUUGCCGAAUUCCUCCUCCUGCUAGCUUCUUUCUCAUAUGCCGGAAAAUCCCUCAUCAAGCUUGUAGGUACAUACUCCAAAAUCACAAUUUAAAGUGUGACACAAUUGCGCCACAACAUACAACUCUCUUGUGUUUAAGCUUCUAUGACAACAAACAUUUACAGUCCGAGAAUAAUGUAGUAGACAAGAGUAAUUGGUAACGCUAUCAACAUUCCAAAUAUAACCCUGCAAUUUUUACAGUUAAGCUAAGUUAAGUUCAUUAAUUAGUUAAUUAAAAGAUAAAUGAAAAAAUAAGAGUGAAUUAACCGACAUAGAAUUAUAUUUUACUAAUUGAGUUUGACAUGUAAUAUGUCUCUACUUACGCAGUGCUGAGAAUGGCUGGAUGGACAUUGUACUCCUUGGCAAACACAAAUGGAACAAUUCCUUGCGGAAGGGCAGCCUAUAUAUAUAUAUAUAUAUGUUCAUUACUAACAUUAAUUAAACAAUUAUAUCUGAAUAAAUAAUUAAAAAUAAAGGUGAUGAUGAAGUGUACCUGGACAAUAGCUAAAUGGAGGAGGGUACCGCGCAGGCCAACAGCAAUGGAGGCAGCAGCCAUGACGGCUGGGCCAGUCAGGAACCUCACAGCCAUUGCAAAUCCGGCGACCGAGUUCCCACAAGCAAUUAUCUUGGGUUGAAGUGCCAUGAACAGACCUAAUUUCAUCAGUAAAUAAUCAGUAAUUCAGUAUAGUAAUUAAAGCUAAGUAAUUAAGCUGCUUAUUAUUAUUAUUAUUUGUUUUUUAAAAAAUAAAAAAAUAAAAAAAUUAUGGGGGGUUUCAGCUGGGUUUCAACUACCUUCACUAAUUUAGAGCGAAUUGGCAUCUGUGACAACCAAUGCCCACCGACCCUGGACCGCAAGAGCAGGACCCCACAUGUCGGGUGGUCAAUACCCAUUUAUAGUCCAAGUUUAAAACUACGUACAAAAGCUGUAAGAAAAGAACCAGUGGAUGGAUGGAUGGUUUUGAUAGAAUACAAAUCACGGUGCCAAACAAAUAUUGACCAACGACUCAAAUUUUGCCACGAAGAUAUAGGCGCCGCAACUCAUUCAAUUUCACAGAUUAUUAUUAUUAUGCUUCUGAAAGUUAUUUAUUAUGCUUGUUCCUACUCUAAUACAAACCCCGACCAUGCAUGUUAUUAAUUUGGUAUUAUUGGAGAGAAGGAAUUAGCAAUUUACUUAUAAAUUAAUUGAAAUUAAGAAACAAUUAACUCACCUAAGCUGAACAUAGCCAUUCCUAGCCCAGCAUCGGACAGUAUGGAGAUUGACUUGGCUAUUAUUUUCGGCAUCGCCACAUGCCACCUACAAGUAUAUACGUUGUAAAUAAAUAUGUUCAAAAUUUGUAACAAACAAUCUAAAUAGGAAAUCAAUCAUUAAACUUCAUUUUAAGUUGUCUCACCGGAAAGCGAUCAGAGACCAGAUGAGACCAAUGAGACUAGAAUACGUGUUGGGAUUGCGGAUAAGCUUGCGCCACACCAUGAUCAAGAUCAGACGGGUCAUAACGCUCGCAGGAGGCAUUUGUUUUCCGCUACCAGACGGAUCGUGCUCAGGACCUCCACCGCCCUUUGGGUGUAGCUCAGCUGUUGAGCUCGAACCCACCUUGUUGAGCCCAGUGGGUCCCUCUUUUUCCCUCUCUUCCUCUCCCUCUGCAGCACCACCCCUCCCGCCAAAGCUAAACGCUUCUCCACCAUACACCCCCUCACCACCACCACUCUCAGUAACAGCCACUACACAUUCAUUAAAUUAAAUUAUAAAAAUAUUGAAUUAUUAAUUAAUGCCCAACAGAAUAGUGGUUAGUUACCUUUGUUUUCUCCAUUUUGGGGGUGAUCAGCAACCAACAUCCUUAUCUCCUUAGCGCCCUGAUCGGACCGUCCAGAUUGCUCGGACGCGCCAAAAUCAGUACCGCCAAAUACAUGGAGCCCACCGCCUUCCGAAACAGGGGAGGCACUGGAGCUCCAAACAAACAUGUGGAGCUCCUUAGCAUCAUGUGGAUGACUAUUCGUUUUAGUAGCACCAUUAUUCAAAGCCUGUUGCGCUGCCACUUGCGGUUGCUGCUGUUGGUUUUUGGUACUGCUUUUACUGACAGGGGCCGAGAACUCGGGAUUCGGCCCCGGGUAUGAAGCCGGUACCGUCUGCGCCGGGUAAAACCCAAACCGCGGAGACGUAACCGUCUGCGCCUGCGGCAUUGGAGUCUCUUCGAAAUUUGACGGUCUCGGAGUCGGACCUCGGGAGGACUGAACCGAAUACAAGUCGGCGGGUCCGAAAUUGGAGUGCCUCGUGUUGAAGCCUUGAACUCCCAUCAUGGAGUAAAAAUCGGAGGGGUUGAAAUUCGAGCCCCUCGGAGUCGGGUUCCGGGACGAGCUCAAGCUGUAAAUCUCUGCGCCUGUAAGGUUAGAUGGCCGAGGCGUCAUUGCGGAGAGCGACCGCCGGGAGGCGUUGGACUUGCGGACCUUGACGUGGAGCUUACCGUCGUCUCCAAUCUCGGCGUCGGUCUCGAGGAAAUCGCGGCCGUCGAGCGAAACGACGUCGGAGUCGACUUUGAAGGAGACGAUGGAGGCGGCGGUUUCGGGGAACUGCUCCAUGAUGAGGAGCUUGGCGCCGCGGUACUCGAAGAGGAAGAGGAGGAGAGUGUACCAAAUGAUGCACUGCAGGACCACCACUUGCACCAUGAGGCUGCCGGAUUCGGGGAUUUUGUGGCCGUACAUGGCGAUUAGGAGGGGAAUUCCCAUGACGAGAGUGUUGGGGAGGGUGGAGAGGGAGAAAAUGGUGAUCAUCCACUCGAGGCUACCGUUGCGGGUGAAGUUGGUCCAGAGGCCCAAGGCGAAGAGCAUGAUGAUUUUCUGGAGGGUGUCGGCGGCGAUGAAGCGGAAGUUCAUGGUGUAGGGGUUGUUGGUGGAGAUGAAGUGGAAGGAGAGUAAAGGGACGGCAAAGAUGGCGACGAAGCGGUUGAUGCCGGAGCACUGGUCAGGGGAGAAGAUCUUCCACCACCUGACGGAGCCGUAGGCUAAGAUCAUGGCAACGUACAGCGGCACCACCGCCGUUAAGACGUUGUAAAGGUCGUGCCACGAUAUCAUUUUGAAUUGGUUAGUUAUCAACUUGUGUUUGUGAUAGAGAAGAGAAGGGAAGAGAAAAGUGCAAAGGCUCUUCGCCUGGCUUAGUAAUUCAGAGUUUGGGUUCAGAUCUGGUGGUGGCGGUGGUGGUGGAGGUUUGGUGGCAUUUGGAUGUGAAUUGGAGAAGAGGGAAAGGGCAAAAUGGGAAGAAGGGGAAAACCGUUAGAUAACGAACUGGGGGAUUGGGAGAGGGAUUAUUGGGCACGUUCUCUUGUGCAGGUGUUGUUGGCUGCGCUCAGUCAGUGUGCUUUUCUUCUCAUACGGCUGAUGACCCUAGAGAGAGAUAGAGAGAGGGAAACACUGAUGAGAGUGUGUGAGAGAGAAGAGAGAAGAGAGAAGAGAGAGAGUAGGGGAAGGGAGGGAGUGAUUUUACAAGGGGUUGUAGUAACUUUGGAGGGAAUAUAUAUAGGAGGCCACACAGAUAAGAGAUUAGAUAUAAUCUAUAGAUAUACAUACACACUCAGGCGCGUAUAUGUUGCCGAUAUCAUUUUUAAUUUAUUUAAUUUAAAAACUUUAAAUCCCAUCAGCAUCAAGUGAGAGUCUAUUUUCCUGCUGCAAAGAUAAGUCUUUUGUUUACAUUUUAUACGAACUUAUUUGUCUGUUGAUUCCUAUUCCGUUUUCAAUACGAGCAUCUUAAAUUUUCCAACAUGUGACUUCAAAGCUUUCGUUUUCUUAACAUAUGAUAUGUUAUGAGAGUAUUUUUAAUUCUUGUUAAGUCUUUUAUGAUUUUUUUCGUGUGUAGAGUGAGAGAGUGAGCGUGUGCAAUAUUGUACCUAGUUCCUAUAGAUUUGGGGCCGUGACAAGAGAGAGAGAGAGAGAGAGAGAGAGAGAGAGAGAGAGAGAGAGAGAGAGAGAGAGGGGGUGUAUGUGUACAUGUAAUGUGUGUGUGAAGUGAAAGGUGGUUGGGUUAGGAAUUGACCGCCUAAUAUGAUUAGCUUAACCCAACAUGGGUUCCUCCUACACGUGGUAGUACUCGUGUGGUAAUAGGUUGUUCAAUGACGUGGACAGUCUUCUAUCUUCUUUUUCCACUUUCGUUUCUAGUUUUCUUUAUUUUGGUCUAAUUCUGGUUGCUCUUGUCUGUAAAUAAAAAAUAAAAAAAAAAUUGAUAAAAAUGAAUCGUAUUUCAGGAUCCCCUGCUGCUAAAGAAAUAAAUUGGUGAAAAAAAGAAGUCAAAUGAUUCAAUCGCAGUAUAGUAAGUUACCACCUAACUGUUGGCGUGACUUGUGGAUAUUGACUUACUUUCCUUACACACCAAGAAUUCCUAUUAUAAUUGUAAUUGAUUUACUUUAAUUCCUGAUUUCCUACUGUAAAUAGAUUUAGGAAUUUAUUAUUUACUUGCCCAUUCAGGUUUCGUUGUAUUAUAAAUAUGACCUCCUACAAUGAGAAGAAUACACAGAAAAUUCCCACAAACAAAUAUUCUCUCAUAGUUUUAAUAUUUUAGCAUGGUAUCAGAGCCAGGUUCGAUCUAGGGACCUGUGCUUGUGUUCUUCUUGAAAUUUAAGUGCUCUUCUCCCCCCUUGAGAGGGGGGGGAGGGGGAGUGAAAGGGAUAUGUUUAUUGACCUAUCCCAAUUACCUUGACAUAUUUCCAUGAAGAUGUUGCUUAUUUCUUGACUCCGACGUCCCCUUCUCUUCAAGGGGAGAGGAAGAUUGAAGAGAAGUUGUGUCUGAGUGAAUUAACUAAAGUUUAUAUAGAAGAAUUUAUUGUUGCCACUGCCGUGCUCAUGGGGUUUCGGUGUUCUGCCUUAUCAAUUGCUGUGCUCACACAAUUUGUGUUCUGCCUUACCUACUGCCGUGCUCACAGGGUUUCUGUGUUCUGCCUUAUCCACACCCGUGCUCACAGGGUUUCUGUGUUUUGCUAUGUGCCCUAUUUUUUAGGGUUUGCUCUUGUGUUUCCGCUGUGAACUUUGUUUUAGUUUGUCACUUGUUUCACUCGUGGUUGACUAAAAGAUCUUCUCUACAAUUGGUGUUUCUCAAGUAUGGUGUCCUGUGACUCGCUUGUCAAGUUGGGCCUGCGAAAUAUCUUUGCCCAACUUGAGGGGGAGUGUUGGCGAGUCCUUAUUUCAUUAGAAUUUUGGUUACUUACCAAUUAUAUUUUGUCCUAUUGUAAUAGAGAUUAUUUUAUUUAGUGUUAUGGGGGUUGAUGAUUUUUUCAACCCUCAUAGAGGUAGCACCAUCGACUCAUUCUCUCAUUCUCCACCAACCAUCGUUGAGUUGAGUGCCCAGAUGGCUCCGCUCCUAUAGAUGCAGACUUUUACCUCGAACCUAAUCCAGAAUCAGGAUCCUCUUUUGACGACCCCGACCUCGACUCCGACUAUGACGACAACGACCCCGACCCCGACUCCGAAGACGACCCCGACCCUGACUCCGAAGACGACCUCGACCCCGACCCCGACCCCAACUCCGAAGACGACCCCGACCCCACUCCGAUGAUGACCCCAACCCCGAAUUUGGCUCUGAUUCAGACCCUGAUCCCGAUUUCAACUCUGACUCCGGCCUCGACUCAGGCUCAUAUUCCGAUCCCAAUUCGUACUCAACUGUAUCCUAUGCAUCUUCCGCUGCACAGAUUAUGACUUCUCGACUAACGACCCCGACACAUGGACCAGAUUGCGCAUUUUGUGAAAUCCGAGGAUCAAUUGGCGGAUAUUUUGGCAAAGGCGAUUUCCAGUAAAGCAUUCCACAAUUCACUGGAUCAGUUGGGCAUUGGCGACAUCUAUGCACCAACGUGAGGGGGAGUGUUGGCGUGACUUGUGGAUAUUGACUUACUUUCCUUACACACCAAGAAUUCCUAUUAUAAUUGUAAUUGAUUUACUUUAAUUCCUGAUUUCCUACUGUAAAUAGAUUUAGGAAUUUAUUAUUUACUUGCCCAUUCAGGUUUCGUUGUAUUAUAAAUAUGACCUCCUACAAUGAGAAGAAUACACAGAAAAUUCCCACAAACAAAUAUUCUCUCAUAGUUUUAAUAUUUUAGCACUAACUAGUAAGCGAGCAGAUUGAGGUUAAAGAUGACAAAAUUUGGUUUGAACAGAGUCAAAGAAUGAAGCACAACGUACUUAAAAGUUUGGCAGAGAUCCUGCAAUUCAAUCAAACUGAUUGUUCAUCAGAUUGUGACCAUCACAUCCUCAAACAUUUUAUCGAACAAAUUCUCGCAUGCAUGCACAUUCAAUCAUUUUGCCCAUCCAAUCCUACUCUUCCACUUAACAUGGUACACCCUUCUUCUCUCUCUCUCUCUCUCUCUCUCUCUGUCUCUCUCUCUCUCUUCAGUACUAUUAUUAUAAAUAUAAAAAACGAUGUAUAUUUUACCCUAUACUAUACUAUACACCCUUUUAUUUUGUCGACUCUUCUUGUAUGAUUUAAUGUCAUAUAUAGAAAUAAAGACGAUAAACAAACAAAGUUUUAGGUGAAUAAUUAUUAAUAAUUGUCACAUUGAUUUUAUCAUAUCUCAAAAUUGGUAUAUUUUAUACUUUUUUAUUCAUAGGUAUAUUGUUGUUUCGUAAGGAUCAAAUAUUUUUUUGACCAAUUUUAUCUUCUUGUAGGUACCGUGGAUUAUGAAGAUAGUAUAAAAUUUAAAUAAAUAAUAAAGUAUCGAUGCAAAAAAUCAGAAUGUUCAGUUUCUUGCCAUAAUUAUUUAAAAUGGGAAAAUGGGCACAAAACAAAAAUGAGAUGCAAGAUAGUGGGUGUAGAUAAAAAAAAGAAGAAGAAAAGAGGUGGGUAACAGAAACCAAACCUUUUGGGGUCCUAAAGAGCCCUUAAGUUUGUUUAUAAUUUUCCCUAUUUAAAUGAUGCAUGUUUUGAGUCGGGCUCGGGAGGAAUUUGACGGUGGGUAAUCACAGCCAAAAGGUCCCUACUUUUGCGUGACAUGAUAAUGUAUUUUCAGUCAUGCAGAGCAAAGGCCAAAGAGGACUGAUCAAAUAUUUUAGGUAUAAGUGAAUGCGACUGAUGUUUAUCACUCAUGAACUUCCACCUUCCUUUUAUUCCCUUUGAUAUAUGGAAAUGGAUCACCCAAAUCAUUAGCUCAACCCCCCUUCCUUUCCCAUCGCCAUUUUAUUUUUAUUUUUAUCAAAGCCAUUGAUUAAUUCAAUUCAUGUUUUUUUAAACAGAUUUUUAAUCAAUUAAUUAUUGAUGCCUCUGGUCAUCAUACUGACUAAACAAGAAUAAUAUUGUUUUAUUAUCAGCGAUAUGAGAGUUUUUUACUAGUAAAAACAGAUACAUGCAUGAAAAAGUUUGGUAUAUAAGAUUGUAUUCCCUUGGAUUGGAACCUUUUCAAAUCUUUAUGAUUCCAUCAUGCAGCUUCCUCCUUAAUUUCGUGACAAUUUUAAAGUAAUUAAUUAAUUAAUUAAUGAGUAUUGCAGGGGUUCGAAAUCUGUUGAAAGCACUUUGUGGUCAGGAGCAAACCGAAUUUCGAGCAGAGACUAAUCUCAUUUUUUAAGUGUGAGAACACCUCGUGGUAUUUACCAAAAAAGAAAUCAAUGAUGAGAAUUGUGAAGGGGGUCUAUUUUGGUGCAUGACUUUUACUUACAUUAUUCAAUAUGAACUUUUUUCAUAAGAAUCAAAUAUUGCAAAGUCAUAAAAAGCUAUAUAUAAUUGAUAACCUCAAGAGUAGCAAGCAUUAUUAGAGUUAAAGAGAGAAGAGAAGAUGACUGAGAUGUGACCAAAGCCAAAGAGAAAGGUUAUAAUAUAUAUAGAAAAGUUGAUAGAGGUCCAAAAAUCCACAAAUGUGUGCGCGUACGGUCGAAAGAUGAGUGGUUCCACUUCCAAGUGGCUCUCCUUUUCUGCAGUUAAUUGCUAGUAGCUUAGGCUUAGCUAGAGGCUUAAUUAGCUAAGGAAACGUGUUUGAGUCAAAAGAUGUGAGCCUGUCAGGCCUUUGGGCGUCCCCCACAACCCAUGCUCAUCAGUCAUGGCCAUGCAUGCUGCUGCUUCUGCUGGAGCCCCCCCAACCUCAUCAUCUUCCCUUUCCCCAUGCCAACAUGCCACCAAAUUACUACAAUAUGCUUGCUGAGUUCAUAAACAAUCUUUAGAAAAUGGUUUUCUCAUAACUUAAUUCAUAUUUAGAUCAUAAUCACACCAAAUUGACCCACAUGGAUAUAUAUGUAUGGUCAAUUUUACAAUAAUUAAACACACCAGGCAUCACUCUCCUUUCUUGAAGCACUUUUCACUUUCUCCUAUAUAAAGGGUGCAAAUUCUAAACCCCACAUAUUAGUACUUAAAAAAGAAGCUUGCAUUGCGACGACUUAAGCAAGAAUCUAGGACCAUGGCUUUUCUUUGUGGAGGGUCGUUGUUUAUGCUUACCAAACAAUGUGGUAGGGUUUGAGACAGCAAAUAUGAAUUAUUAACUUUAAGAUCGACCUUUUGCCCAUAAAUAUACGAACAAAAAUGCUAAUUAUAUCGUAUUUAUGUACCAUAUUUUUAAUAAAAGUGAAUGGUAUGCAAAUGCAUAUACCUACACAUACGCACAGCCUGCCCGCUAAGGACUUCCAGUUAUUCUCAUUGGGCCUAUUUCGUAUAUCUUCUUCUUCGUACCAACGGUCAACAUAGAUUGGCCCAAUUUUAGGGUUUCCAAGCAAUUGCUAGCAUUAUUGAUUGAGCUCAUGCCGCAUUCCGAAAUUGAUUAACUAAAAAAAAGAGAAUUGCAAACCAACUUGCAUUUCGUUUUUCACAAGCUCCUCUUUAAUUGGAUUGGAUGAUCAUAAGUUGAUUAUUUAUAGGCAUAUAUAUAUCAACUUUAAAUUAGGCACAAAUCCAAAUGCAUCGAGUGUAUAAUAUUGGGAAGACCACGUUCACAUGCAUCGUAAUGGGGACUGUUAAACCGCAAUUAUCCGUUCCACGUACACGUGAGUCGUGACUGACAACAAGGUUGACUCAAUCUUGGGCUCUGAUCAUGAUAAAGAUAGGGUUGCUAAUUACAAGGGAAAUGUUAUGAGCAGCAGGCUAGCAGCAAUAAAAUUAGUGUAGGUAGCAAGUUAGCAACACCAAGCAAGUAGAUUUCGUGCUUGUGGGGUGGGGUCUUAGUUUAUUCAAUCCCAAAGCCAACCAUGUGAAAGAACAUUCUUUCUGAGUUGGUGACACAAACUCUCAUUCCUCUGCCAUUUCCAUCCUCACCUAAACUCUCAUUCCUCUGCCAUUUUAUUAUAAUUAAUUAAUUAAUUAAUUAAUAAAAAAGGGGGGAACAUAUUAAAUGGGAACUUGGGGACAUGUUGAGUGUAUGUUUUGACAUAUUAUAUUACAGGUUGGAAAUCAACUUUGUGACUAAAUUUAUGAUAAUGUGUGAUGACCGUCCAUGACCGUCCAUUUGGAAUAAAGAUGAUGCCCAUGUGAUAUAUGUACCUUAGGUGUGUGAAUUUAUUCUAAGUGUUCGGUUGGGAGGGAGGGAGGUAGUUCAUGUAAAAUGAUUAUGGAUUACAAGACAAGCCAAUGCUUAACUUUGCCCUACUUAACCCCCGUUUCCGAGGACCAGAUGUUACUCUACAACCCCCCAUAUUGCCACAUAUAUUUUUCAAUUUUAGGUUGUCAAUGGAUCAAGUGAAUUGAGUCCAUUGUUGUUUUUGCCCCAAGGACAAGGAUUGUCGUCGUAACAGGCCCAUUGAUUCCGUCACUUGUACAAAUGAAACCCCAAAGUCUGGGCCUCCCUACGAUCGGGGUCUCGUUGGGCUAACCUUUGCAUCACUUCUAACCAAACUUCUUAUUCAAGCGUAUCUGCGAACAUAAUAAAACAAAAACAAACAAUUAUCAGAAAAUGAAAGAUAUCAAAACGACAGCUGGGCUAUAAAUAUUGGUGUAGAGGGCUUUUCCCUAUGAAAAUCUUAUUGGGUUGUUUCUUGGACUGAACCCAUUAUCGCAUUUUGAGGUCUCUAUGUUUGACAUGACUGCUUAAAGAUUGAAGCAAUUUCAAAAUGGGGUUUGAAAUCAUUGCUAGGCGAAAGUGGCAAACAUGCUAACACAAACCAACAUUGAAACAUUAACAAGUCGUCAGUGUUUUGUGUCCCAACCCAACACCUUGUAUAAACAAUUAAUUAUAUGAACAUUCUCUAAUCUUUCGCUUUUGACUAUUUCCAUUGAUAUUGAUGAUCGUGAUCAAGUACUGGGUCAAAUUACAAACUAAACAAUGCAGCCAGCACCCCGGGAUUAGAGGGCGGGCGUUGCCACUUUAGAGGACAAGGUGGUAGCGGGGGCGGAAGAAAUGUUGGUCUUGGUGGGGCCGCCUCUGUCCCUGUCCCUGUCGAGAGUGGUGGUGGUGGUGGUGGUGACUCGCUCGCAGCGAGGGCACAUGGUGAGUGUAGAUGCCGGAAGAGGCUCACAACUGUGGGGAGAAAGCACGGUGGGUGGGCCCACUUUCAUGGCUCUCAGCUCCUCUACCUCCCUUUGUAGCCUCCUGUUCUGUUCAGUCAGUGAUCCGAACCAUCUCUUCAGAUACUCGCAUUCCAUCUCUGUUUGCUUCAGCUUGCUCCUGCAUCACCAGUCACAUUAAUUAAUUACCAAUAACAUAAUUAUAUUUUACAUACAUGAUAAGAAACACUUUUUUGGUCUAUGUUUUUUUGGUUGGUUGGAUGAUACAUAAGAAACACAUUGAAAACUAUACAUGCAUGUGUAAAACACAUAGAAAACCACAUGCAUAUGUGUAAAAGACAUGGAAAACUUAUUUGAUAUAAAAAUGAAUGAAUGAACUCGCACGUAAUAACUGAUCCAUCCAUUUUCCAACCAUAACAUAUGUGCAUUAAAUAUACUUAGUAUUAUAAAACACUCAAAACCUCAGGGGGGGAAAAAACAAAACCAGAAUAAAUAUGUCCAUGUUGAACUUUAACAAAGAAAACAAGUAAAAAGGGAAAGACUUUUAAUUAAUCAUUUGAGGAAAUCAAAUUGUUAUGGCUUAAAAUAAUGUGAGAGUUGAUGUGGUAAAUCAUACGUACAUAAAAAUUAAAAUCGAUGAUGAAGAUACAUAAUGAUGAUAAAUGCAUGGCUAGUCCAUCCAACGACCGAGUCAAAGCAGGUACUUAUUAUUAGAGUGAUGAAACUGACGAGACUCGCACACGAGGCUACAAACAAUAUAAGUAGUGAUCCUCUUAAUCAAUGCACCACAACAUCAUUAUGUUGUUUAUUCUUUUGGAAGACGACUAUCAUUAUCUUCCUUCAUAAAAGCUCACCUCACGAGUUUAACCGCAUCAUAAUUUUGCAUCUGUACUUUGACCCACCCACAUAUAAUGGUAAACUGCCCAUACUUUCUUAUUAUUAUUAUUAUCAUAUUAGGUUAAGCCAUUUUCAUGCAAAGGAAAUAAAGGAAGGAAAAAAGAAAAGAAUAUUCUGAGUGACAUCUUUUAGCUUUAAAAAGAAAACUGGACAAAGAGAAGGCACUCUCUAUAGUUUUUAAAUAAAAUCUGCCAAAGAUUCUUUACGUGCGUGCGUGCACAAGCGCAACAAGUGACUGACCACUAUGAACAUCAAGAGUUGGAUAGAUAUAUAAUUGUAUGCACAAAUACACAGACAUGCCAGGAUGCCAGGAUAUAAGAAGAAUUAGAUACAAACGAUAAAUAUAAUUUCUGAAAAGGACAUUACCUAGAGAUAUAUAGUACACAGCAUAUUUAAAUCCCAACCACCAACAAAAUAAUUAAUGAAUGGCCAAUUCUAAGUCCAUGAGUCCAUGAGUCCAUGAGUCCACGACCCUAGCUAGUUAUAGCACGCAUAUAGACAUAGAUAUAGACAUUACCUGGCCCUACGAUUUUGAAACCACACCUCAACUUGCCGUGGCCUCAGCUUCAACUGCAUCGCCAACGCCUCUUUCUGUUUCUGCAAACACCAACAACAGUGCUCCAUUAAUUAUUGAACAAUAUUUUAUAUAUACAUGUAUUCAUACGUAUUUGCUUAAUUAAUCCUAUAAACACAGCUUACGUAUAGCUACGUACAGGGUUUAAGGUGUGGUGUUGUCGGAAGCUCUCUUCGAGAAGACGAGACUGUUCCUUUGUGAGACGAAGCUUCUUCCGCGGAGGGCCUGAUCCAUUACUGCUGUCUUCUUCGUCUUCCAUGCCUGCUGUCAUCCAUUCUUCUUGAUCUGCUUGUAUUGAUGGUACUUGGUUUAUGUCCAAACCUCUCACUGCAAAACCCGAUUCACAAUUUUUUGACAUAUUAUAAGAAAAGUCUUCAAACAAAUUUCAGCCACCAAACUUUUCUUUAUGAGACAUGAAAAAGAGAAAGCUUCUUAGGGUUUUGGAGAUUUUCAACAGAGAGAUAGACAAAUAUUGGGAAAGAAGAAGAAAAAAGGUAAAAAGAAGGAGAGACACAUGCAAGAUAUCCGGGUAAAGAUCAUAUCACAUGUGAAACUGAUUAACCCCCCCAAAAAAAAGAUCAUAUGUUUAAAACUUGUAUAAAAAGACAAUUAUUGGGAAUAUUUCACAGAUAAUAGAGAGCGUGAGGUUUUGCCAAAUAAGGCACAAAUAUCAAUUGAGUCUAACAAACUCUAGAAAUGAAGAAGAUAGAGAAAAGAUAAGCUUGGUGGGCUAAUUAAUUACCAGAUGAAUUAGGAAGAGAUGGGUAUGAAGAGAAGCCAGGUACAGAUAUAGUCAACUCCAAGCUCGAAGAGCCUGUUGGUGGAAAAACCGCCAUAAACACCUGAUAAACGUGAUUGCAGGAGGUAUGACGAGAAGAAGAAGAAGGAGAAAGGAGAAAGGAGAAAGGAGAAAGGAGAAAAGAGCAAGGAGAGAGGAGAAGGGUAAAGUAAAAACAGAAUGAGACAGAGAUGAAAGCCACAAAACUAUAUGAUGAAAUAGAGAGAAAAAGUUAAAAGAUGGAAAGGGCAAAUAAAUAGUGGGAGGAGAGAAGAAACAAAACGAAAGGGUAAAGGGGUAAAAAGAAACAAGAAAAAUAUGAAAAUGAGAAGGGUAGAGGGUGGGUUUUGGUUUUGGAUUUGGAGUUGGGUUAGGGUUUAUUUGACUGUUGUUGUCCAAGUCAAAGGGUCUGACCGUUCCGAUGUAAGACACGUGUCAAACUGAAGGAAGAAAAAAAAACCAGUGUAGGAGAAUAACCGGCAAGUUUUCUUGUUUAAGCGAUUAUAAAAGGAAGGAAAGCAGGGUGUCUGAGUCGUGAGUGUGGUUGUCGGUUGAAAGGUCAGCUGAUGAAAUGAUUGGGAAGCAUGAGCUUGGGCCUUGAGCCUUCUUCUCUCCCGCUGCCUGCUACUCCUACACCUAUACACACACACACACACACACACACACACACACACAUACAUACAACAUUUUCAAUGCUCCCCCCCUUCCUUUCUCUCUCCUACCUUCUUCAAAAGGGAAAAUGAUAACUUAUUUAAUGGACCGACCCAUAAGAGUAUUUUGCAUUUUUGUGCCUUUUAUUUAUGAACUUUCAUCAAUCAUCAUAAUAGAUUGAAUCAAGACCAUUGAGAGUUUGAUCACUGAUGCAGAGAAAAAGGAUGGUAUGGGAAAGCAAUGGGGUGGGGCACAUUGGAAAGAAUGUUUUUAAUUUUUAAUUUUUUUAAUUACAUAUAUAUAUAGUUUAUGUCUAAGAGCAUUUACAAUGGGCUCUCUAAAUCACCUCUUUAGAUAAAUUUUAGGUAAGAAUCGUAAAAAUGCAACUUCAACCACGCUUCCUAUCCACCUCCUAAAAUAUGGAGUCCUCUAAGAGCUCCUAAAUCUGAGAGGAGAGAGAAAUGACUCAUAGUGACUUCCUAUAAGGACUUUCUAUCAUUUAAUAUUGAUUUAUUUAAUGAGUAUUUCAAAUAUUUAUUUAAUUCGAACUAUUUUUUAUUUUAUUUUUUAAUAGAGAUGGACCAAUCAAAAAAGAGUUAUAACAUUUAUGAUUCUUCAAAUUGGUGGUGGGUAUAGAAUUAUAAAUGCCAAAGUGUUACGUAGUGUUUGGAUAAUGAGAAGUUGAAUUGAAUGCUUGCGGGUACAAAAUGAAAAUGACAUAAUUCUCCAGAGGGUAUGAAUUUUGGAGCAGAGUCAUUUAUGAAGGGAAGAGCAUGCUAAUUUUGUGCGAACCUCUCUUAUUAAUUGCACCAAUGACUUUGAAUCACUUUCUGCUCUCUCUCUCUCUCUCUGUCUCAUUAAUUUCAAACCUCUUUAUUAUAAAUUGAAAUUACCAAUUUACAUUACGUCAGUGUUCGUAUUCCAUGGCUUGGAAUUGGAAUUGGGAACAUGUUCUUGUUUUUCCAAGAACACGAAUGACCUCUAAUGUAUUCGAUUCAAUUUAAUUAACUUGUUAAUUAAAAUAAGGCUCCUAAUUAUUAAGGAGCAAUUAGUGGUAAAGCUGAAAUGAGUUUUGACCAUGAAUAUCAAUCAAUAAACCAACAAUGGCCCAGAAAAUAAUAUCCUCAAAAAGUGAAGAAUUAUAAAGGGAACCCAUUUUCUGUUUUUCUUGUUAUGCACCAAACCAACCACUUGUCGGCCUAAUUAUCAUGUUGUGUAAUUCAUCUAAACCUCAUUAUUCCUACUUACCAACUACGUUUUAAUCUAGUCAAAUUUGUCUCCGCUUAAUCGAUAAAUAACGUCUUUAUAUUCGUGAUGAGUUUGAUAUCUAGAUGCGUGAAUAUAUUGGCACGUUAGUAUUUUAGGCAAUUUUGCAUCGAGUAAAGUCAUGGGCCUUGUGGCGUGACAAGGCCGUCGAGUCGAUGAGGUGGUUUUUGGUCAGCUUUGUUUGGUCAUUUGCACUCAUUUAUCCACACACACAAUACGAUCUUUCUUUCUUCCCACGCGCUCAUUGACAACACAAAUUCUCCAACUCCCCAUUUUUUUGAGAAGAAACUAGUAUUUCUAAAGAGAAAAGAGAAAAGAGAAAAGAGAAAAAUUAUUAUGGUAUGGUAUGUAUUCUGUAUAUACGGCAAAAGGCGUGGGAACGUGGGGUCUACUUUGAUCAUCAUUACAUACAUAGAAGACAAGUCAUGCAACAUGGUGGCUGUGGACCCUCACCAUUUGAAUGAUUGGUAGGGAACCGUACGGGACCCACUUGUCUGCUUGUCUCCUCUCGUGAAUUGCUGAUUGGACAUUCUAUCAGACAUCUACCGAUGUCCUGUAAUCACAGUGGAUUACAGGUGGGCCCCAUCACCCUUACGGUGGUUUGCACUUUAGAACACUCACUCACACACACGUGCUGCUGUGCUGCUGCUCCUGCUCCUCCUCCUCCUCCUCCACUAGGAUCAAAAUUAAUCGAUGACAUGAUGAUCUUUAUCAUAAAGAUUUUUAUCAUUCGGAAUGUGAUUUAUUAGACAUUUAUUAAUGUGGAAAUCCAGUCAAAUCUCCUUUGAGUGAUUAUUGCUUCCCCUUUCAUUUUCAAAAUUUUGAUGACAUUGAUUCGGACGUAUAUUCCCCUUGACAAUUGCAAAAUUCAAAUCAGUAAGAUUCCAAAUUUUGAUGACAUUGAUUUGGUAACAAUAAGAAAUUUGAAAUACUUUGUUGGGGGAAUGUUGAAGGUUCUUAUAUCAAAUAUCAUAUUCAAAGGAUUUGAGCAAAAAAUUGCCAAUUUGUUUCUCUCCUAUCUUUUUCCUCGUAAAUAAUGUUAUUAGUGAGCCAACGAGGUCUAUCAAAUUGGAAAAUAACCUUAACUUGCGGAUUCUAACCCCCUAUGACACCUUGGUAGUGUGUCUUGUAUUAAAACAAAAAAAUGUUAUUAGUAAAAGAAAUUGACAUGGACCAUGAUUCUACAUAACAUGUGAAAGCACGACCUUGUUCAGAUGGACAAAAAGAUUUUCCGAAAUCCUGAAUUAUUUUUCUUCAGCUGAAGUUAAGGUAUCUCAUUAUUUCAUUAUGGACUUUCCUCUAAAUUUUUUUAUAAAAUAUUCCCAAGUCAUUUUCUGUCGAGGACAGGAUGUUUAAAAGAGGAAGAAAGCUUUACAGCAAAGUGCGCGAGAAGAAGUCGGCCUUUCCUUGAAACAAAUUGAACUUUGUCGAAAAACCUUUGCCUUUUGGAACGGAACAUCUUAAAGAAGACAAAUAGUCGUUUGCUAGUUGAUUUAGGAAACGAAUCAAAAUUAAACAUGUGAAUUAUUACUAUUAUGUUCAGGUUAUUAUUAUUUAAUUAAAAAACACUUUUUUGGGUGUCGUUUAACAGAUAAACAAAAGUGAAAGCCCAAAAGAUAAAUACAUGUUUGAGUAUUCUUGUAUGCGAGCAAAGGGACAAAUUAGGAUGCUGACAUAUCAAAUUAUGUAAAUGCCAAAUCAACAGUCAAUUAACAACCAACCAGUAACUUCAAUGGCAAACAAUUUGGAUACGACAUUCCUUCAUAUUUGGAGGCCACACCCAAUUUGGAUACGACAUUCCUUCCUUGCAUUUGCUGGUGGUGGCUGCAUAUCCAGUUACUCCCCUAACUCAACCAUUACCAACUUUUCUUGGUUCCAAGUAGCCAACCCUAUAAAAUCAAGCCAGCCAACUACAUAUAAGGGGGUACCUCAGAGAAAGGCCUACAGAAGCAUCAAGCUUUUGCCACCUAUUAGCAUCAAAAGACAUGGUUACUGGAAACAAUUAUACUACUACAGAAGGGGUUUAAAAAGGGUCCAGAGGUCCAUCAAUACAAGCAACACUAUUUUGUAUAGAAUUGUAAGCUUUCAGAUUUUACCAUGACCACACUCAGUCACCAAGUAUAGAAAGCGGCUGUCUCAUGCUAAGCUCUGUCUUCAGCAGCGGGAAUUGCUCCAAAUCAUGUGAAACACCUAAAACUUUCUGCGAAAAAGAACCACUGCUUGUGUUAAACUAAGUACACUACAUGAACCAGAGCAUCAGCCAAUCAGGAAUUGCAGAGUGAAACAAAUGCAGCAAUUAUUUUCUUUUUGGCUGAUUGCAGAAAUGAAAUUCUACCACUAACUAUGCAUUGCCAGAAUUAAUCUUUUUGAGUUCUCCACAACUUUUUCGAAUCUUAUACACCCUAACCAAUGCCCAAUAAAAUGAUGGUAACGAACGUCGUAUGUUUAUGUUCUAAAAAUAACACGGGCAAUGCAUUAAAUGGCAGAUUAAGCUAAACUAACUUAAGGAAAAAGAGCUUGCUACAGUUUAGGUACUGAGCAUUUGUAGCAUAGAAAAUUAAACAAGAAGAUAUACUUGCAUAUGGAUUAAUGUUCUAUGUGCUAAUAUCUCAUCAAAAAAUAGAAAUGAUGUAAAAUGAUGAUUACCAAACUUAUCAAGAAUUACAUAUUUAAAAGGGCGCAUACAGGAAUACUAUUUACCAGAGCAGCAAGAUGUGCUUCUUGUAAGAUGUUGCCAUCUACUUCCAAUCUUGCAAUAGGAAACUCUGGGAGAUGUCCUGACUGUUUCUUACCAAGCAAGUUACCAGGUCCGCGUAAUAGAAGGUCCAUAUUUGCCAAGUAAAACCCAUCUGAUGAUUUCCCCAGAACCUUCAGACGAGUUAGACUACUGACGGAAGAUGCUAACAGUAUACAUUUAGAUUUUCUCACUCCUCGUCCGACUCGUCCUCUAAGUUGGUGUAACUGAGCUAUCCCAAAUCUAUCAGCAUUCAUAACAACCAUCAUAGAUGCAUCUGGAACAUCAACACCAAUCUCAAUUACUUGUGUGGAAAGUAGUAUAUCUGUUUCUCCCAAUCUGAACUUUCUCAAUGCUUCGUCUUUCUCAUCACUCUUCAUUCUUCCAUGCAACAAUCCACAUGUGUAGCCCUGGAACCUAUUAGAUAUAAAUUCAAAAUCUGCGGAAGCUGCACGAAGUUGUGGCAGCUGUUCGGAUUGUUCAAUGACUGGAUACACAAGAUACACUUUCCCUCCUACUUUUAACUCAUCCAGCAUCAUCUGUUACAUGCUAUAUUAUUUGUAUCAGAUACUGAUAAAAGCAAAAGGGUGGAAUUAGAAAAAUCUUGCUAUUCUAAUCUACAAGCAAAUAAAAAAUCCAUCAAGGAUCAUCUUGAAAAGAACACAGUGAUCCCUUUGCAGAAUGAUGAGUUUGGUUAUGAGGCUUUCUUUCUUUAUGUUUCGAACAUGAACUCCGUCAAUGAACCCUUUUUCGCAUCAAUGGCUAUAUUAUGUUUCAAGUAUCGAAUAAUAAACUUAAACUGGAACACCUUUUUGUUUCUAAGGAAAAGAAGAAAUGUAGAACAGAGUGCUGUAACAAAGUUAAAACAAGGACAAUGACCUCAUAAACAUCCUCAAACCCAUUGUCAUUUCCUUCAAUGAUGAAGGUCUCAACUGGUGUUCUUCCUGGAGGUAAGUCGGUUAUCUGUUAUUUAAAGAAAGUAGAAACAAAAGAAUCAACAAAUAAUCAAUACAAAUACAGGAAAUCAACUUAUCCAAAUGUAGCACCUAUUAAAUAAUGGAAUACCAUAGAAUUAGCUUUUAAACUCAGAGUAGAUCACUUUUAAGUUACUUUUUCUCUUUUGAAUAUUUUCUUUUUCUUGGAUGACUGGACCUAAUAAUCUUUUAAAAUGUGGCAAACUAAGAUAUGAACAAUUUGAUUCCAAUAAGAGAUAACCUGAUGGUUGCUUUAUUUCUUAAGAAAGUUCAAAUAUUUCACUGCAAACAAGCAUUUAAGAUUAGCAUCUAAUUAUAAUUUUUAUAUUUUUUAAAAAUCUAAAAUUCAAAUGAGAAAAGAAAGAUUGCAACAAAGCAUGAAGGAACAAGAACAAAAAUUCAUACUUGUGUUAAUGACAUAUCCCCAUAUAAAGCGAGAGCAAGUGUCCUUGGGAUGGGAGUAGCUGACAUGGCAAGAAUAUGAGGAGCCAUAUGCUUGUCAUUCUUGGAGGUCACAUCUGAAUUGGUGGCUAGCAUUCUAGAACUUAUGGAGGUACAAUAUAGCUGCAGGGAUUAGUGCAUCAGUUAGAUCAUCUUAUAAAAUAAAUUGCAGACCAUUUCAACUUUCAAGGACUGGAUUAUUAAUACCAAAUUAUUGAUACCCUAUCUAACCCCUAUAAAGUUUCAAAUUUCCUCCUCAACUUAAUAUCAAUUAACGAUAUGAAUUAACUCACAGAAACAUCAAGAGCUAUUCAAACAGCACCCCAAAGAUAUUAAAAGUAAGACAAAAUGAAUUCCGGGAACAAAAUCAUCCACAUUCCAUAAGGUAUAAAAGAGUCAAAUUGUAUCACAGUUUGGACAGAAUAUUAAUGGAGUACUAUGUGACCAGAGAACAUGACUAAAUAUUUAGUUCAAUUAAAAGCAAACUACCUUGCUGUUAAACCGGCCUCUCUGGAUCACACCAAAACGUUGUUGUUCAUCCACCACUGCAAUGCGUAAGGCAGAGAACUCUACUUUAUCAGCUAUUAAACUAGUGGUUCCAAUGACCAUUGAUAUGUCUCCAGUUUGGAGACCCUGAAUUGCAUAAUAUUAAUGAUUAGUAUCACUUUCACUACCAUUAACUAGCAUCCCUGAAACAUUAACAAAACAAAAGAACCGGACAUUAAUCCAUGCCUUAUGAAUUAUCCGCGAUUGUUUUGAUGGGGUUGAGCCUGUGAGUAAAGCAAUAGAAGGUUUGCACUCAAAAUCCUCUAUAUUUUCAAGCAAAUUAUUUAAGUGCUCGUAAUGCUGGACUGCAAGCAACUCAGUUGGAACCAUGAAAGCUGCCUUUAAAUGAAACAAAGAAAAACGAUCAUAAUGAUUUUCUGUUAGGAACAAAGAUCAUAACUAAAAUACAAAUGGACGAAGGUCUAAACUUAAUCAAAGAAACAAAAUUUUAGCUGUAAAACAACUAUAAAACAAACGGAGUCCCAACUAUUGUAGAGUCAUAUUUUAAAAUAUUGUAUAAAAAAUGUUACACAGACCUGAAUAGAUAAUGAAAACCUUUUAAUGACAAACCUGAUAUCCAGAGCCAAUAACCUCCAUGCAUGCCAAAAAAGCUACCACAGUUUUCCCACAACCAACAUCACCCUGAAACAAGUGUAACAACACAGUAUCAAUCAAGAAUCUUUUUCAGUUUUCAAGUAUACCUAUUGUGCAUGCCAAGGAAAUAUAGAGAGAGAACAAUGAGCCAAUUAGAAAAGGGAUAGGAAAAGAACUAGGGCAAAAGCCUAGGCUUAAAACUGUUUUCAACCAGAAGCCAACCACAAAUGAUCUUAUUGUGUCAUCACUUUGUAACCGGAAAUUGUAUAUAUUGUAGGUGCUUCAGUUACAUGAUAUGAAGGUCAAGUCAAUUCAGAUCAAGAUGUAGAAUUACCACUUCAAAAUUACGAUUAAUAUAUGAUUAAAAGUUGUAAUAAAUUUUAAAACAAUUGAUACAUCCUGUACGCAAGGAUUAAAACCUGCAAAAGCCGAUUCAUAGGAACUGGUUGCCUAAGAUCCCAGAUAAUUUCUGAAACAGCAGUGAGUUGACUAGGAGUAAGGGUAUAAGGAAGAGUUUUUGAAAACUUCUUGGUAAGACUGGACCAUUCCUCCAUAUAAGCAGCACUUGAUUCGGGCUUCCUGUACUUAUCCAGCAAUCCAUCUUUCUCUAUUUGUGUACCAAGACCUUCAAGCAUUUGGUAUAAGCGCCCUAACUGACAGGCACUGACAAUUAGGUCAGUGUGAAUCCUUACUCUAUUUGAUAAUUGCAUAGUAAGAAAGCACAAUUUAUCAACAGUGAUAAUUGGAGAAUUUAGAUACAAAACCAGAAACAGCACUCUUCACUAUUACACUGUUGGACAUUUAAUUACUUGAAGAAAUAAAAAAGAAGUUAGCAAAGAUACACUUCUCAGAUAUCAAAUGGUAUUUUUCAUGCACAAAGCAAACCACCCGCUAAUUUCAAAAUUGCAACAAGAGAAAGAAAAAAAAUUUCAAAGGGCAUUCUGAGUAUAGUUGAUCAUUAAAACGUAAAAAAUUCUGCAAUGUAGUAAAUGACCAAAUGAGCCUUUAGAAUCUUUUUUUAGCAAAAAAAAAAAAAAGUAUUACAGUUUAAAGAAGAUGCACAUGUAUUCGGUAAGCAAUAGAGAGAAGAGCAUUAACCUAAGAGACUCAGAUCUAAAAGCAUAUGCAGGUACAUCUUUUUUUUUUUCCUUUUAAAACUCCGAGAAUGGAAUAGGGUUUCAUUUAAGUUUGAUGGCAAGAAGAAUGACCUAUAAACAUAAGAUUAUAACCUUAAUAUAACAAGGAAUGGAAAUAGGACAACUAAUGAAGAAAUUUGAAUCAACAUCACCUGUAGGUAAAAGAAUUCAUCAAAUAUUAGUCUUUUCCGAGCCAAAUCAGCUUCGUUUAUGCUCUUCGGUUGGUGAAUCCCAGUAUAUGCCUAUAUUAUUAAAAAAAACAUAUAGCUCAAGUUUUUUUCUUAAUAUACCAAAAAAUGUUAUUUAAAUAACAGCAAGGGGCUCAUAUAGCUCUCUAAUAAAUAUAUAGACACUGAGACGAAGUGGUCUCAAUGGAGAUGCUCCUAUGCUCACUGGGGUAUAAAGAAUGUACAAGUAUGUGUUGUCUCGAGACCAACAAUGGUGGGUUAACAUGGUUGCACGGGCUAAUAUCAAGACAAUGCAAGCGUUAUGGCCGCAUCAGCCUGCUUUUUAAUUCCCGCAUGCUUAAUGUAUUCAUGUAUUUAUGUAUGUAUGUAUGGUACAAUGUUCGAAAAAUAAAUGCUUGAAAUAUUCAUAAACAAAUACUAUUCUUUUUAUUGCAUGAAAUCGAGUGUAAUAAAUGACAAUAAUUAAAGGUAGGAAUUACAUAUAUGCUUGAUAAUAAGGACAAAAGUGAAGGUUCUUACGUCUUGAAGGCUUAACAGCCUAAAGUCCAGAAUGAUAUUUUUAGGAAUAGGAUCAACAUUGACAGGCAAAACCUGUACAACUCUGGAACAAGUAAAAUGGUAAAGAUUUAAUUUAUUGGAAUCGGAGAAAACUUCAAAGAAACUACCCAAUCAAUCCAAUAUUUGAAUAAUUUAAAACAACUGCAAAGAACUAAGAGAAGCAACUUCCAUAGGAUAAACAAAGGAAUGUUAUUGCAGAAAGAAUAAAAACACAAUUAGAUAUCUAAUAUUGAGAAAACCAGCUACUCUCCAUAAAUUAAUGCAAAUUGUAUAAGCUUAUCAGGACGGAGUAAGAGAAAUUUAGCACCACAAAAAGAUCUUAGAGUAAAAAGAAUAUAAAUCACUAUUCGCAAAUGUAGCUGCUAAGGAAACUGGUUGUGUUAUGAUGUUACAGUUCAAGGUACCUAAUAGGUUGGAGGCACAAACCUUUCAAUGAUGUCUCUCAAAAAAUUUGGAUUUAAGCCUCCUUUUGAAGGGUAUAUAGGAUAUGGCCUUCCUUUUGCGUGAAAAGACGCUUCAUUUUCAUCUUUAAGCACAUCAAUGUUAUAUUCUCUCAUUUCAUAGUGAUCUUUAGAAGGCAUUGUCCUCACCUAUUUAAAAAGGCAACAUUAUUACAAGUCUCCAAGUUAAGAUCAAAAAAAUGAAGAAAUAAUAUCUUUAACACAAUUGUACUACAUUUCAUGAAAAGAAAGUCCUACUUGAUCAGGACAUCUUUGUCAAACCCAUUAGGGCUUGCAAACAAAAGAGAUGGAAGAGGAAAUUAUUAAUUAGUUUCCUAAUUUAUUUGUUAGUUUUCUAGGUUCUCUAAGUUUUCCAGAUUUCAUUAGGAUUUCUAGUUUUUACAGAUUUCCAAGUUUCUUAUUUUAUUUGGAUUAGUAUUUCUUUCCUAGAAUAAGUUUAAUUUUCCUUUUCACUCUAGGGUUAGAUUAUUAUAAAUACACCUGCUAUGUAAUUCAUUACGGGAGUUGAGAUUUGAGAUAUUGAGUAAAGUUUAUUUUCCAGAGAUUGGAGACUCCUUGGUGUGAAGUCAAAACCCCUGGAGUGAUUCCAGACCCAUCCUUGCUCGUUCUAUUUUCUGUUUUUCAAUUGUUUCGCUUCCGCUAAACUACCUAAAUUCUCAAUUCACCCAUAUCCUACACCACUACUGCUUUAGUCCUUAAUAGUUUUCAGUACAUGAAAAGGUGAGCCAAUUUAUGCAACGGCACAUCCAUUGUAACUAAAAGUGCUGCCUAGGGCACUAACCAACGAGUGACCAUUAACUAGUCAAAAGGUCUUAAAGGUAGUUAACAUGCACGAGCAGUACUACCUAAUUUCUGAUAGCAUUACAAAAAUCCAAAAAGCAAUCAACAAAUGGAGCAAUGUGCUGGCUGAUACCUCCUUUUAACUUUUCCUGUAUAUUAUAAAUAACAAGGAACAGCAUCAACAGGAGAGUUGCACUUAGAUUCGGUCUACUUCCAUCCAGUAAGAACCGGCUCAAAGUAGUAGGCUACAGCCUUAUAGGUGUGAGACAGAAAAAGAAAUAUUACUCUCUGAACUAUAUUCUUCCUGUAAUUGACUAUAUUUUCGAGUACCAGGUAUCAAUCCAUAAUACUAACACAAGAAUACCGAACACGAUACAAAUAAAAACACAUUGAAGCGCAAGCACAUAAUUAAACAAGACAGAAAACCAAGGUAAAACUUACCUUGCCACUGACGCAUACAAAGUCCCCCUCUUUAUGCUUGUCCUCAACAAUUCUAAGAAAAGGUACAGAAGUAAAACGAGUACCACGGAAAAAUUUCUUCAGAUGCAAAUAAAUUGUCUUCUUUCUUCUACUGUCACCAAAAUCAUUCAUAUGCUCAGUUGAUUCAUUGUCAGUAAUUUCACAACCCACAACCACCUCAAAAAUUGAGAAAGUACUACUAGCUUUGAUUCCCCUGUAAGAAAAGAGGUAACAUAUAGAUAUCAAAACAGAUUCUUAAUACCCAAGCAUUUGAACAGCAGCAGAUUAGCAGCUUAAAGUGAAUGAAUAAGUGAAUACAAAUACAUAUACAUGUAUGUAACAUCCCUGCAGAUGCAUUAUCACAAGUGAGUUACAAAGGCACAGCACUAGCAAAUAGUAUGCCAUGAAAUUAGAUAUCCAUUUAUCUAAUUUCAACACAAGUAUGCCAAGAAAUGUUCACAGAAAAAAGAAGAAGAAGUUAUUCACUAUGUCAAUGAAACUAGAUAUCCAUUUAUGUAAUAUAGACACAGAUUCACAUUUAACAUCAUUUCAUGUGUCAGAACAUCACGGUUUCUAUCAGCUAGUUAGGCUUUCAUUGUUUUUCGAAACAUCUUAAUUUCUCAUAAUAUCACUAGGAACCAAAGUAAGCACCUUAACAAGUCAGCUGAAUUGGAAUUUGUCAGAUUAGCCUAACUUCAUCCAAUUGCUAAGGUGAGCACCCAGAGUGCCUAUUACGACACUUAAAUCACUAAACAAAUUCUUUCAAAGACCAAGCAAGAAAAUUCUGAGUCUCUGACCACUUAUAAAUCUUAGCAAGAAAACUAAUUAGGAUUUAUUUUUAUUGGUAAAUAAUAAUUUACUAGAAAUUUGGGAAAAUUUUAAUACCUCGAAUUUAAUACCUUCCCAAUGAAAAUCAAGUAUUGCCCGUCAUCAAUUUUAAUCUGAGCAUUCUGUAAAUCAGCAUAUGUCCGAGGAAAGUGGUGAAGCAAUUUCCGCAACUGUAUGGAAACAGAAGAAGAAUGUAAACCCAUGGCUUCUUUCAAAUUCCCGAUAAUAAGGGAAAUGUUUCCUUUAACAUAAUUUCAGAAACCCACCGUAUGAAAGCCACAGUUUUCUAGCUGAUGACAACGCUUUUUACUUAUUCCAUGUAUGCAACUGAUAGAACUGUCCAGGGACAACUGAACUGACACAGCAUCCUUUUGCGAUUCAAGUGAAACUUUCUUAGAAGAUUCCUCCGUAGGAACUGGUUGAUAUGAAUUUUUAACAGGAACCAAAGUCGUGGACUGCAGAGAUAAGGACAACGUUUAAGAAUCUUCUUUUAAUAAGGAAUUUUGACACUAGUACAAGCAGGAUACAGAGAAUUCCAUAUUUCAUAGAGAUAAUCACACACCUGCAUUUCACCCAUAGUAUCAGACAGAAAUCCUUCACAACUUUGAGUUUCUAAAAGCAUCCUUUCAGUGAAACUUGUGGUUCCAUCAUACAACUCUACCCGAGGGGAACUGCUCAAAAUGAUUGACGGAAAUCUUCUACAUGCCAAGGAAACAUCAAACUCAUCCACUGCAUCUUUAACAUACAUACCAGACUGCUUUUCAGCUCUUUCAUUCUCAAUCAAAUUAUGAAGACUAUCGUACCCCAUCAAAACAGAAACCUAAAAGAAAAUGACACAGCAAAAUAUGAAGACUAGAUUUUAGAAAGGCAACAAUACAUUCCAUUUGUCAGAGUACAUGCACAUUAGAUAAAGUUGCAGCAAUCAAACAACAAACAAUACCACUGAUAAUUCUUUUUUUUUGCUGAAUUAACCAAUAUCAAACUUGUAUAUAAACAAAUCUACCUUAUUGAGCAACUUUGACCGAUCAGAGAUGCUUGCUAUGCCAUAACUAUCUACUUCCUUCAAAGCAUCUUUAACAAAAGUAUGCUUUGAUCGAAAACAUAAUUUUGAUAUUUUGGAAAAGACAAAAUUACUGAACCUGCAAUUUGAAAUAGCCAUGCCCACAUUAUUAAUUCUCAUACUUUCAGAUCAAAUCAAAUUGCAAAUAAUCUACAGACCUCAUUUUUCUACCCAAAGCAUUCCGAUAUCCCUUCUCUGCUUCAAAAGCUAUUGCACUUCUCAAUCCAUUCCCACUGAAACACUGAGAUGGAAACUUCAUUGUUGGUGUAUUACUAAGCUCAUAUGUAAGGAUUAAACAGUACAUCAUACAUAUCUAUAUUAUAAAGAGAACUCUCUUUGGAGAUCAUCAUAUAAAAAAAGUAGACUAUACCCCGAUGGUUUUAAAUAGUUUUAAUACAAUAUUAGUUUCCAAUUUCCAAUCACUCUCAACCCACAUAUGCUCACACUCUCUUUUCCUACUCAAACUCCAUCUCAUUGCACAUAGACACUACCAUAUUAUCCCAUUUUUUAAGCCCAAAACUGCAGGCAUUUUGUUUGUCUUAGCCAUUUUUCCGACUUUAUGCAUUGGUACUCUGCAACUCUCUCUUAAAUCUCGGGUACUGCUGAAAAUUUUAUGAUGUUUUAUAUUAAAAAGUAGUAUAUUGUAGUUAUUUUCUUUUCCUAAUAAUAAGUCCAGGAACUUAUCAGAAGUUUUAUGUGGAUUCUCAACUCUGACACGGCACAAUAGAGAAAAAAUCUAUUGGAAGUUCCGAACUUAAAGUUGGUGUUUAGUGUAUAUAUAUUGUAUGGGAAACUUCAAAAACAUUAACCAUCAAAAUUAAAUUUAAAAAUUUAAAUCGCAUAUCUUAUUAAACAUCUGAGAAAGUCCAAAACAACUCAAUAAUGAAAGGUGGGCUGUCCAUUGGUGUAAGUGACUAUAACACAUGUUACCCCUUUUAAAUUGAAAGUUAGCAUAAACUUAAGGCUGGUUCGGCCGAUAAUCAAAGAUGUGAGAAAAAAGAAGAAGAGGAAGUUAAGUACGUACCGAUUGCACAACUGAAACUGCCACUGCCAUGUGCAACAAACUUACUGCAUGAACUGGACAUGCCUAAACAGAGAAAAACAUCAAACCUGCACAAGGUUGAGAAAACAUAUACAACAAAAGAUUACAAAGUGUCAGACUUUCUAAAAAUUAAUGCACCGGCUACUCAGAGCAAUGAAAUGGCGAAUAUCAAUAAGAAUGCUACAGGAGAGCCCAAAGGUUAAUUCAAAGAAACCGAACUCUUAACAAGCAGUAGCGAAAAGCAAAUCUAGCCAUUAAUCUACUUCAUUUGAACCACCACCUGUUUCUUAAUAUUUUUAAAAAAUACAUUCAGAAUAUAUCUUGGAAUUGGUAGUAAGCGCAUGAAAUGGAGAAAUCGUAGCGUCUAUUUUAUACGAUACAGAAAGGGAAGUUGGCAACGUACCUAUUGACCAAUGCUUCAAACAGAGCCCUGAAAAUCAAUAACCCAGAAUCGUUCGAAGAGCUUCAGUGACAAAGUCUGUUCCUUUUUCUUUUUUCUUUUUCGUUCUUUGUCGUCUAAAUAUCCCUCGUUCCUAUGUCCGGGAUAUUCUUUUUCUUUUAAAAUUUCUUUCCUCAAUAUCCACCAAUAAACCAAUAUCAUAUCCAAAUAUUUAAUUUCUUUUACUAUUUUCAAUCAAAAUAAAAACAUACGCUUGUUUCUAAAAUUAAAAAACAUAAAACUCUUUUCUUUUUCUUUUUUGAAGUGAAAAAAUUAUUUUCUAAACAAAUCUACUAAUUAUUUUCAAGAAUAUUAUUUGAAGGAAACUAUUUUCAUUUACCAAAAAAAAUAAUCACUAUUUUCAGUAUGGUUCGCGAACAGGUCCAAUUGGCUUUUAUUGGGCUCAGUUUGAGAGACAGUAAUCUGGCCCGAUCAAGCCUAGGUUUUUGGGUUGGGCCCAAUCCAACUUCGUCAGUCAUAAUCUUUGGCCCUUUUGGGUGAUUAUAAAAACACUGAUAUGCCUCAAUUGCUGAAUUAGGGUUUCGACAGAGAGGUCGCAGCGCGUUGGCAACAUUUAGGUUUAGUUCAUAUCUUCCUUCUCAAUUUUCUCACUUUCCCCAGUUUCCAGAUCGGAACAAUUUCAAUAUAGCAAGGGCUGAGGCAAAGGGCAGAGCAGCAAUAUGCUUGUUUUCAAGCAUAUGAAUCAGUGGCUCUGAUUUACUUGUAGGUUUUCUACAGGUUCCCCUGCCAUUGAAGCCCUGUACAUCAAGUCUUGCACAGAUUAUUAUACUGUGGGAGACAAUGGCAUCAUAGUACGGGUUAUGUGCUUGAUGGGUUGUUGUGAAGUUUGGAACUUUGGUUACUUAUGAGGGUCUCUUGACCCAAAUGAGCCCCAAGGUUCCUUUCACCCUCCCAUUUUCUCCUCACAAACCCGCCUCCAAUAGCCAUUACAUUUUCCCCAACCAUUUCACAGGUCUCUCUCUCUUUUUUUUCUUUAUUAUAUAACAAGUAUACUAUGUUAGUCGAAUUGUUGCCCGAUAAUUGUUUUGUGUUUUCAUAAUCAUAAUCAUGAAAUGUAGAGUGAGAAAUGGAGAGCAAAUUAAACACAUUUUGGC
rnacentral:lncRNA from 1 species